rnacentral:snRNA from 1 species
GUGCUUAGUUUGGUAGCAUGUAUACUAAAAUUGAAAUGAUACAGAGUUCAGCCUGUCUCUUGCACAAAGACAAUGUGCAAAUUUAUGAAGCAAUCCCUUUUUUA